UACGUAGGGUGCAAGCGUUAAUCGGAAUUACUGGGCGUAAAGCGUGCGCAGGCGGCUUUGCAAGACAGAUGUGAAAUCCCCGGGCUUAACCCUGGGAACUGCAUUUGUGACUGCAUGGCUGGAGUGCGGCAGAGGGGGAUGGAAUUCCGCGUGUAGCAGUGAAAUGCGUAGAUAUGCGGAGGAACACCGAUGGCGAAGGCAAUCCCCUGGGCCUGCACUGACGCUCAUGCACGAAAGCGUGGGGAG
rnacentral:rRNA from 1 species